AGUAAACUGUGUCUAUAAAGCACCUCCUUUCCCUUUGCUUCUCUUGCCAAAGUUUUGAGAGUCUCUUCUCCAUAACCCUUUACUUAUUCUUCUUCUCUAUAUCUUUAUAGCUCUCAAAAGGAAGCAAUGGGACCCGGAGGACCUGGCCCACCGGGAUGGGGUCCGCCACCACCUGGUCCAUUCGGUGGCUUUUGCAACAUCAUAGGUGCUUGCUUGAGCUUCUUGUGCUGUUGCUGGUUACUGCAAGACUGUUUCGGUGGUCCAAUGGGCCAUCCUGGUCCACCCGGCCCAUUUGGCCCACCACCUCCAUGAUCAGUUGCAUUGAAUUAUCUUAUAAUUAAUAUAUAGGAGAGCUUCCAUGGUCCACGUGUUUAUCUCCUAUUUGCAAUAAUCAUAGCUUUUGCUGGGUGUCACUCACAGUAGAGUGUUUAUGAUCUUUAUGAUUGAUUGUAUUUGUUCCUAUGUACGCCUAAGUGCUUUAUUUGUUUUCUUUUCUUUGCUCAGCCUUAUAAAUACUCAAAUUUGAUUUCUACA